rnacentral:tRNA from 1 species
GCCCUUAUAGCACAGUGGUAGUGCGUCGCACUUGUAACAAUUACGUAUUAGUUGUUACGUAAUAAUUGCAUGCGAAGGUCGGUUGUUCAAUCCAGCCUGAGGGCA